AUUGAACGCUGGCGGCAGGCCUAACACAUGCAAGUCGAACGAGUGGCGGACGGGUGAGUAAUGUCUGGGAAACUGCCUGAUGGAGGGGGAUAACUACUGGAAACGGUAGCUAAUACCGCAUACCAUCGGAUGUGCGCAGAUGGGAUUAGCUAGUGGGUGGGGUAAGGGCCGACCUAGGCGACGAUCCCUAGCUGGUCUGAGAGGAUGGCCAGCCACACUGGAACGGAGACACGGUCCAGACUCAUACGGUAGGCAGCGGUGGGGAAUAGUGCACAAUGGGCGCAACCCUGAUGCAGCCAUGCCGCGUGUAUGAAGAAGGCCUUCGGGUUUUAAAGUUCUUUCAGCGGGGAGGCUUUACCCGCAGAAGAAGCACCGGCUAACUCCGUGCCAGCAGCCGCGGUAAUAC
rnacentral:rRNA from 1 species